rnacentral:rRNA from 1 species
UGGGGAAUUUUGGACAAUGGGCGCAAGCCUGAUCCAGCCAUGCCGCGUGCGGGAAGAAGGCCUUCGGGUUGUAAACCGCUUUUGUCAGGGAAGAAAUCUUCUGAGUUAAUACCUCGGGAGGAUGACGGUACCUGAAGAAUAAGCACCGGCUAACUACGUGCCAGCAGCCGCGGUAAUACGUAGGGUGCAAGCGUUAAUCGGAAUUACUGGGCGUAAAGCGUGCGCAGGCGGUUUUGUAAGACAGAGGUGAAAUCCCCGGGCUCAACCUGGGAACUGCCUUUGUGACUGCAAGGCUUGAGUCGGCGAGAGGGGGAUGGAAUUCCGCGUGUAGCAGUGAAAUGCGUAGAUAUGCGGAGGAACACCGAUGGCGAAGGCAAUCCCCUGGGCCUGCACUGACGCUCAUGCACGAAAGCGUGGGGAGCAAACAGGAUUAGAUACCCUGGUAGUCCACGCCCUAAACGAUGUCAACUGGUUGUUGGGAAGGUUCCUUCUCAGUAACGUAGCUAACGCGUGAAGUUGACCGCCUGGGGAGUACGGCCGCAAGGUU